CCGAGUUUACAACUCCCAAACCCAUGUGAACAUUACCAACUGUUGCCUCGGCGGGGAUCACGCCCCGGGUCCCGGUUAAAACCCGGGACCGGCCCCGCCAGGAGGACCACCUAAACUUCUGUAUUCCCUCCUGACUGUAAUUUCUUAGCAGCUCUACAAACCAUUAAAUAAAUCA
rnacentral:misc_RNA from 1 species